rnacentral:lncRNA from 1 species
AUCCCAUCGGGGCCCUUGGCCUGGGGACCCCCCGCCCCGGCUUUGUGUGGUGGCCUCGUCACCGGCGCUGCCCCCCGCACGUCACAAAUCCGGGGAGAGGCCGGCCGGCCCGUCGCCCCGGCCUGCGAGAGUGUGCCUCCCCGGGAGCCGGCCUUGCUGGGACGCGCGGCCCUGCGCGCCACCUCCGCCCGGCUCCGGGUUCCCGGGGAUACUCGCGCUGGAGACGCGGAGCGCAAUAGGCCGUUCGGAGUUCGUCGACUCUCUGGGUGUCUACACUCUGAGAGACUUUUCAUUUUCUUUUUUAACAGCGGAGUUCCUCUUUCCAACCUGAUUACCUCGCACGACCUCGUUGGCCUGUCCUCUGCGGACUCCCGUUACCCUGGAGUUCUUAAAGGCGUUAAGCUGUUUUCCAGCUUGUGCAUUCACAAAAGGAUAAGAGAGCAACCAGGAUCAUGUCUGCUCCAGGAUCAACUCCUGCGUGCUGUCUAUAGGUAUUAACCUAUCCCUGAGGUCUCCAUCACAUGUUCCCUUUUUUGGCUUGAACAACUGAAUCAGAGCACAGUCUAUUUUUUCAGGAAAGACAGAGGAUAGCCUCCAAAAGAGCCGGACAACUCUAUAGCUUUUCUAAACCCCUUCGGUUCCCUGUGCACUUGAAGGCCUUUUUAG